GGAGAAAGCAGAUGACCAAAAUUGGGCCUAUGGGGAGUCCCAGAAUGUGGCCCAUCAGAGGUCUGGCAGCCUCAGGACAGGAGCCUCUGGGGCUGGAAGCCUGACAGCCAAGGCGCAGAAAAGUGGUCAGCCCCCUGGCUGCAGCAGGACAGCAAAUGGGGGAGCGACAGAGUACCCAGCUCAGGCUGGGUGGAGAGCCUCAGAGCCUGCCCCCAGACGGCCAGCGAUCAAAGAGAAGAGUGGAUCCAGGAAAAAUCGAGCUGCCAAGUGGUUGAUUGGCUUUGCCUCCAUCAGCCUGAUGAAUAUUCAUGAGGUGCGCUCUCUUCGUGAGCCAGAGCUCUGCGUUCAGCCUGUGCGCCUGCGUGUGCGCCUGCGUGAGUGCGUGUGUGCGGUGCAGGUCACACACGCCUCUUCCGCUGCGUGCAGGACGCCAGCCCGCGCUUGGCCCGGAUUGGCCCAGCGGCGGUCUAGGAGAUGCCAUGGCAACCCCUGGCUGGUUAUCUGGCGGGUCUCCCCUUCUUCCCUUUUCACUUCAAGCCCCUGCAGAUAAACCCUAGGCUGAUGGUGCAAAUGUCUGUGCUGGAUGUGCACACACAGGUGUACAAGUAUCUGUGAGCGAGUGUGCAAGAAGCAGGGAGUGGAAGCAGCGGUCACCACCCCCCAGAGCAGGCAGCCCACGGGAACUCGAGGGGCCCACUGGCCACAGCGGGUGUGGGUGGGAGUCUGGUUCUAAUUUCCAAAAAGACUUGAGGCAAGGCCACCAUUUUCCUCGUGGGAGGAGGUGGGUGAGAAAUUGCAACCAACAUUCUGGAAAUUUGUUAAGUUUCCUUUAUUUGGGGACAUCAGGGAACUUAAUUCUUUGAUGUCAGCGGUUCAUCGGGAUCAAGAAAUCAGAGGCUUUGGACCCAAAGUCAACCACUGACAUCUACUCAGCAUCACCGCGGGGCAAACUUCCUGCGUGUGCACAGGGCAGACAUUUCUGACACCCCACCUCCUCUGAACAGUGUGUGUGAGUGUGCAUGCUCGUGUGCGUGAGUGAGGUGCACCCAGAGGUCAUGGUCCCAGCUGAUACAGACGCACUUUGUGAGCCAGGAGGCAGACGCAUUUGCACCUCCGACUGAGAACCAGGUGACGGUGUGAUUGCUGUGGAGAAGCCCCAGGUCAGUUCCUGCUGGGUGCUCGGAUCCUGGGAACCCUCCCUCCGCUUCUCCCUGGCUGUCCUGAGAACGCCAUCCUGUUGGCAGGGGCUGUGCUCCCAUCUGGAUGGUGGUGGGUGAGGGUAUUUCAGCACGUCCUGGAAGGAGCAGGGUGCAUGGUUUUCCAUCAGUUGGGGCGCUGUCAGCCCAGGUUCCUGGUGUUGAGGGAGGGGCUUGCCCCAGGGAGUAAGGAGGGCUGGAGAGAAGGGAGGUGGGCUCUGCUGAAAAGCCCUUGAAAGGCAGCCCUCAAGGCCUUCUCCAG
rnacentral:lncRNA from 1 species